UAGUAUGCAGGUGUAGAAGGAGACAUGGGAGGCACUGCUGCUGGAAAGAAAACCAGAACUGAUUAAUUGCCUCUGCUUUGUACAGUCUGCCACCAGGACCUCGCUCUCCUGUUGCUUCCUGUUUCUGACUGAAGCCCUCUUCUCUGCUUGGCAUUCGAACACAGCCUUUGCCUGUGACCUCUAUGGAUGCUUUGCCUGUCUCCUCAAGGGAUGCUGUCAAAGUACUUGAGUUCUGUGGAGCCAACGGAAGCAGCAGAACAGGGUUUCUCUUCCCUAGUCCGAGAGAGAACAGUGAAACCUCAAAAUUACCACAAGCAGCACCCUCACAGUUUCUCCCUUCUACAACUGACAAAAAUUUCUUAAAGUCUGUCAUUUCUGAGGCUUAAUGAAAAUUAUUUUCAAGGUUUGGAAAAAUGGUCUAAUAUAAAUUGGUUUAGAACCCCUCCCACCUUGGCAGUUCCUUUUGGGGCCCCAUCAUACAGCUUGUUUCAAUCACAUUGAAUUUUACCCCAGUUUUUGUAGAUUUUUCUAAUACCUUUUUUGUUUUGUUAAGAUGGUGUUUUGCUGUGUUUCCUCAGAUAGGCCUGGAACUCUUAAGCUUAAGUGAUCCUCCUGUCUCAGCCUCCUGAGUAGCUGGGACUAUAAUUGUCACCUGUGCCCAAGUCUACCGUUUUCUGAAGGCCAUAUACUCAGACAGAGGGAUUAAGAGAAUGAGAUCCAAAUUCUGGGUACCAAGUUUAGGUCCAGUAGCCUUCUCACAUCCACUUCCUGAGACAUCAUUUCCUCAGACCUCCAGAUUUGGUAACACUGAGACUGGCCCUUCUGUUCUUCCCAACUGCAUGACACCACCCUUUUCCUCAGCAGUUCAGACUGGGAUGUACAUGUGAGUGUAUCUAUGACAGUAUGAUAAAGGUGCCUAGGUGUGAAGGUGAGAUUCCAUGAGAGGCCAAUAGCUGUCUCUUAUCACUUGAAAACAAAAGCACAUUAGGUUCCUGUAGGACUCUUAUUGAAAAGGAUCUGAUAAAGAAGCCCCCUUUCGUUAUGGUGAUGAGUGCUCUCACCCUGUUUCCCAGGUUUCAUUCACUAUGUUCCCUACCAACAUCCUUGAGCCCAACUCCUGGGUUUUUCACCUCUCAGCUACCCAAGCAGCUGGGACUAUAGGUGUGUACCAGUGUGCUGUGCUCUGAAGGAAGCAUUGGGGGAGUCUAAAGGGGAAGGCUAGAUUGAUAAAGAUUAGCACCUUUCUGAACACUUGCCCUCAGCAGGGAGCAGAAACACUGUGGGUCCUUGUAGGAGAACCAGACCUUUGGUCUUACUCAUAGCUAGGAAAGUUCUGAGGUGUGAUGGGGAAACCCAAAAGUAAUGUGUGGCAGUCCAGUGAGAUUGUGUGUUUACUAAGGGCUCCAUUACAGAUGCCUGGUCUAGGCCUACCUGCUGCACUGCUCUCCCAGGAAAUAGAGGAUAAGUUAGGCUGAAUAUAGAAUAUCUGGUCAGACAUUCUUUCUCGAUCAACCAGACACUCGGGUGUCUUGUAGAGAACUGGUAGAGAAGAUUCCUAGCGUUAACCUGCCAUGGAGACUGAGGCUGUGAUGUCAUCACUACUCAGGUCACAGAAGGAAUGUGUGACUUGAGGGGUAGGUGACGAUUCUUGGUAUGUUAUGGAAAGCCGGGUGAAAGGAGAGAGCUCUGCUUGGGCACCCCUCUGGCCUCUCCCCCCAUAGUCAGAUAGCCACUCUCUGUGGAGCACAGCCCAGACCACAGAGGGGCAAGCAAAACCCAGAUUCUGAAACUGGCCUGACAGUCAUGAUUAACAUAGACAGCUAGGUUGCAUGACCCUGAUACUAAGUAUUUUCCUGUUGGAGAGGCAGAGAUUUGAGUGGAUUAGGGGGUCAGGGAAUGCUCCUUGGAUGUGAGCCUGAACAUAAGUUAAAAGACGUAGGUUGGGUGCGGUAACCCAUUCCUGUAAUUCCAAUGGCUUGGGAGGCUGAGGCAGGAGAUUUUUUAGUUCAAAGCCAGUCUCAUCAAUUUAGGAAGUCCCUGAGCAACUCAGUGAGACCCUGCCUCUAAAUAAAAUAGGAAGAAAGUGCUGGGGAUGUGCCACACUUGGUUGCUGCCUCUGAGAUCAAUCCCCAGUAUCGGGGAAAAAAAAAAAAAAAAGAAAGAAAGAAAAUGUGGACAUGUGGAAAAACAUUCACAUUGGGGAAAAAAAGCAAAGACCGGGUCCUUUUAAUCUCAUUCUGCUCCAAAGAUUUAUUCUUUGAUGCAUUGGAGAGUGUGGCCGGCUGUUCCUUUGAUCCUGAGCAAUACACACAUCUUUCUGAACACACACACAGAGAAAUGCACCCAUAACCUUCUUACAAGUGAGAUCUCAAAAAAGAGGCUACGGGGCCUACACAAGGUCACACAGGUAGUACAGA
rnacentral:lncRNA from 1 species